rnacentral:rRNA from 1 species
AACGAACGCUGGCGGCAUGCCUAACACAUGCAAGUCGAACGAGACCUUCGGGUCUAGUGGCGCACGGGUGCGUAACGCGUGGGAACCUGCCUUUAGGUUCGGAAUAACUCAGAGAAAUUUGAGCUAAUACCGGAUGAUGUCUUCGGACCAAAGAUUUAUCGCCUUUGGAUGGGCCCGCGUUGGAUUAGCUAGUUGGUGGGGUAAAGGCCUACCAAGGCGACGAUCCAUAGCUGGUCUGAGAGGAUGAUCAGCCACACUGGGACUGAGACACGGCCCAGACUCCUACGGGAGGCAGCAGUGGGGGAUAGUGGACAAUGGGCGAAAGCCUGAUCCAGCAAUGCCGCGUGAGUGAUGAAGGCCUUAGGGUUGUAAAGCGCUUUUAACCGAGAUGAUAAUGACAGUAUCGGGAGAAUAAGCUCCGGCUAACUCCGUG